AUACAGCUGGCUCCGUCUGUGUGGCCCUGGAAUUGCCUGAUAAAACAAACCAGAUUGAAUAAUGAUUUCCUGCCAGAGCUCAAGGUAUUUACUCCCCAGGAGCCGGCACGGAGCAAGGGUUCAGAGUACAGACGAGAGCAGAAUGCCUGGGCCUCAACUUGGCUCCACCACAUCUGACUGUGUGACCUGAAGCCAGUAACUUACCCUCUCUGAGCCUCAGGCACUUCCUCUAUAAAAUGGGGCAAAUAGCAGGACAGACGUUAUGAGAACUAAGUGGAGGAAUAUUUGAAAAGUGCUUAGAAUUGAUAUUUUGAAAGUGCUACUUAUGGAGUUUUAAAAAAAGAAAAAAACAAGUAACUUUUGCUAGGAUAAAAGGUGGAGAGGGCGUUCGGCCCUGGCUCCAUCAUUCCAUUUUGCUCACCUACACUACCCAGCAAACAGAAGAGGAAAGUAACUGCCGCACUGUCACCCACACGCAGGGACCGGGCCCGGCUCAAUGACACUUCAUGGAUUUCUACAGCGGAGGUUUGAAGAGAGUGAGCUGUCAUGAUGACUUCUGGAGCCCGUCCCUUCUCUGUGCAGCAUGAGAGGGGACUUACCAAACAAGCCACAGACCCCAAACUGCACCAUCCGCAGGGACGGCUUCCCAGCAAAGAUGAAACAAGAGUAAAACAUGUACUCAUUUUACCUUUCAUGUUUCAUUCAUGCUUACUUUAAAAAGACUUUUUGAGAACA
rnacentral:lncRNA from 1 species